UACGUAGGUGGCAAGCGUUGUCCGGAAUUAUUGGGCGUAAAGCGCGCGCAGGCGGUUUCGUAAGUCUGAUGUGAAAGCCCACGGCUCAACCGUGGAGGGUCAUUGGAAACUGGGGAACUUGAGUGCGGAAGAGGAGAGUGGAAUUCCAGGUGUAGCGGUGAAAUGCGUAGAUAUUUGGAGGAACACCAGUGGCGAAGGCGACUUUCUGGGCUGUAACUGACGCUGAGGCGCGAAAGCGUGGGGAGCAAACAGG
rnacentral:rRNA from 1 species